rnacentral:rRNA from 1 species
GAUGGACGCUAGCGGCAGGCCUAACACAUGCAAGUCGAGGGGCAUCACGGAUUGCUUGCAAUCUGGUGGCGACCGGCGCACGGGUGCGUAACGCGUAUACAACCUACCUUUUGGAGGGGAAUAGCCCAGAGAAAUUUGGAUUAAUACCCCAUAGUAUAUAGGAAUCUCCUGAUUUUUAUAUUAAACAUUUAUGGCCAUUAGAUGGGUAUGCGUCCUAUUAGCUAGUUGGUGUGGUAACGGCACACCAAGGCUACGAUAGGUAGGGGUCCUGAGAGGGAGAUCCCCACACUGGUACUGAGACACGGACCAGACUCCUACGGGAGGCAGCAGUGAGGAAUAUUGGACAAUGGGCGAGAGCCUGAUCCAGCCAUGCCGCGUGCAGGAAGACUGCCCUAUGGGUUGUAAACUGCUUUUACAGAGGAAGAACCACCCCCACGUGUGGGGGUUUGACGGUACUCUGCGAAUAAGGAUCGGCUAACUCCGUG